UUACUGAGUCAUCCUUUUUCAAGUCUUGUUACUUAUCACCGAGCGCCUUCCCCCGAAGCCAGCUGGCACUCCCGGCGCGUCUAGAAGGUCCUCUUCAAGAGGCCCGCACUGUGGCCCCUGGAAGGUGUAUCUCUUUGACUGGAUUUACAUCUCCGUGAUCACUAGUGAGGCUGGACUUAUCUCUCACACAGUGAUUAGUGGCAGACCCGGGAGGAAUUGUCACCGAGAGCGGCUUGUCACUCCUGCGGGCCCUCUCGUCCUCGCUCUCACUCCCGGUUGCUGCUGAUUUGGUGUUUCAGUCUGGACCCAGAUAAUUUAGGGGUGCACCAGUGAGGAAAACCGUCUCCUAUUCAACAUAUCCAGCCGAACUUUGUUCUUCACGAGGACCUGUGUCCGCAUUUCGACCCCUCACCUCAGCCCCUGCCACGUGGUGUGGCUCCCUCACAACGGCCCCACCUCAGAAGAAAGGAAGUAACUGAGCCACAGCCAGAGGGCCCAUGCACCCUGCUUUCUCUUCCCCGAGAAGUUUCCGUUCUUUUUGUUCUCAGGGGAGGUGAGGAAGGGAGGAGGCCAGAAGAAGAACCUCGCCUUCUCGUGAGGCCCCUGGCCCAGGCUGCUGCGUUGUGUAAUCUCCUUCCUCCGCUCAGAGGAUCAGGACAGAAGGUGCAGCCAGGCACUGAGGACAGGCUGGUGCUAGCUGGUUCGUCACGUGCACCCGGAGUCCAGAGGGAUUUGCACCAGUUCCUCACCUCAGACUCCAGCCUGAGAUGCCUGUGACGGAGUGUGUUCACCUGCUUGCUGCUCCAGAACCACCUAAGGCUUCCUCCAGAGUUCACUUGGGGCUGCCCUCUGACUGUCAUUGAGGAACUCGGGAGUCUCCCUUCUGGGCACGCCCUCCUCUGCCAGGCGCUAGCUUUUAGCUCUCGUUUCCCUCCUCCUCACCUCCACUUAGGAUCCUUGGCUCAGGUUGUUGGAUGUUCAGUUCCUUCAGGUUUUCCCUGAAUGGAGCCAGAGGUUCUGAAUCCCUGCAGGUAGGGGAAGGGGGGAAAGAAAAGGUGGGAAUCUGGCCUGAGGACUGGACAGUAAGACCUUUCCUCAGACUCUUGACAUACAUGACUCCUAUGGGUGUUCACAUCAAAAUCUUGUCUUUGGCUCUAUUCCCUAUUUUGAGUCGUGUUUCCAAAGCCCCUCUUCUGUUAUUCCAGCAUAUCCAAGCCCCAGAAUGUGGGUGGGGGUGCUCCACACCAUGAAAAUGUUGGCACUUGUGAAGUGACAGGAAUUAUGAAAUGCAUCGGAAACCUAAAGGUGGCCCUCUGCUUAUGUUGGUAGGGCUUUGGUAGCGUCAUCAACAAGCGUCUGAGUAUAUCGCUUGGGUGGAGCUGCAGCUAGAAUUAGGGAAACAAAGACAUAGAAGUCAUGCUUCUGACCCUUACAGGGUCAUCACAAGACCAAGUUGGCCUGCAGGCCAGAUGAGUGGCCCCCCACAGUGCUAGAUGAAUUCACAGGAGGGAGCACUGACCAGGAAGUCUUCACAGAGGCAGCUCUCCAGGCUGGACCUUGAAAGCAAGAUAUAAGACUUGACAAGUGGCCCCCUGGAGGAGGACAUCCCAAGCGGGGGCGUAGGCAACAAGCUAAGACUCAUAGGUGGAAAUGGCAGCUGGCACGUUUGGAAAUUGCGAGAUCAUUCAGGAGGCUCCAGGACCCAUGUGAGGGGUUCUGCCUCAGUCAGGGCUCCCAGAGAAGCAGAACCAGUAGGAGAUAUAGAGUAAGAACUGGCUUAUGUGAUUGUAGGGGCUGGCCAGGAAAAUGGGCAACCCAUAGGGCAGGCCACCAGGUAGGGCAGGCUGGAAGGAAACUCACCAGCAGGAAUAGAAGCGGCUGUCCACGGGCAGGAUUUCUGCUUCCCUGAGGAAGCCUUAGCUCUCUCUGAAGGUCCUUCAACUGCUGGGAUUAAAUUAUCCGGAACAAAUUUAUUUAAAGUCAACGGAUGUUUUUUUUCAGCUUUAUUGAGGUAUAAUUGACAAGUAAAAUUUUAAGAUAUUUAAAUUGUACAUCAUGAUGAUUUGAUUUGUGUGUAUACUGUGAAAGGGUUUCUCCCAUCUAGUGAAUUAACACAUCCAUCACCUCACACCUCAUAUUAUACAUUUAACUUAUACUCUUGGCAAAUGUCAAUGAUACAGUAUAGUGUUAUCAACUAUAAUCACCAUGUUAUACAUUAUAUCCUCAGAUUGGCAUUAUUCAUCUU